AGUGAACGCUGGCGGUAGGCCUAACACAUGCAAGUCGAACGGCAGCACAGUAAGAGCUUGCUCUUACGGGUGGCGAGUGGCGGACGGGUGAGGAAUACAUCGGAAUCUACUUUUUCGUGGGGGAUAACGUAGGGAAACUUGCGCUAAUACCGCAUACGACCUACGGGUGAAAGCAGGGGAUCUUCGGACCUUGCGCGAUUGAAUGAGCCGAUGUCGGAUUAGCUAGUUGGCGGGGUAAAGGCCCACCAAGGCGACGAUCCGUAGAUGGUCUGAGAGGAUGAUCAGCCACACUAGAACUGAGACACGGUCCAGACUCCUACGGGAGGCAGCAGUGGGGAAUAUUGGACAAUGGGCGCAAGCCUGAUCCAGCCAUACCGCGUGGGUGAAGAAGGCCUUCGGGUUGUAAAGCCCUUUUGUUGGGAAAGAAAAGCAGCAGGUUAAUACCCCGCUGUUCUGACGGUACCCAAAGAAUAAGCACCGGCUAACUUCGUG
rnacentral:rRNA from 1 species